AUUGAACGCUGGCGGCAGGCUUAACACAUGCAAGUCGAGCGGGGUGAUGGUGCUUGCACUAUCACUUAGCGGCGGACGGGUGAGUAAUGCUUAGGAAUCUGCCUAUUAGUGGGGGACAACAUCUCGAAAGGGAUGCUAAUACCGCAUACGUCCUACGGGAGAAAGCAGGGGAUCACUGGUGACCUUGCGCUAAUAGAUGAGCCUAAGUCGGAUUAGCUAGUUGGUGGGGUAAAGGCCUACCAAGGCGACGAUCUGUAGCGGGUCUGAGAGGAUGAUCCGCCACACUGGGACUGAGACACGACCCAGACUCCUACGGGAGGCAGCAGUGGGGAAUAUUGGACAACGGGGGGAACCCUGAUCCAGCCAUGCCGCGUGUGUGAAGAAGGCCUUAUGGUUGUAAAGCACUUUAAGCGAGGAGGAGGCUCUUUUGGUUAAUACCCAAGAUGAGUGGACGUUACUCGCAGAAUAAGCACCGGCUAACUCUGUGCCAGCAGCCGCAGUAA
rnacentral:rRNA from 1 species